AUUGAACGCUGGCGGCAGGCCUAACACAUGCAAGUCGAACGAGUGGCGGACGGGUGAGUAAUGUCUGGGAAACUGCCUGAUGGAGGGGGAUAACUACUGGAAACGGUAGCUAAUACCGCAUACCAUCAGAUGUGCCCAGAUGGGAUUAGCUAGUAGGGGGGGUAAAGGCUCACAAAGGCGACGAUCACUAGCUGGUCUGCGAGGAGGACCAGCCACACUGGAACUGAGAAACGUUCCAGACUCCUACGGGAGGCAGCAGUGGGGAAUAUUGCACAAUGGGCGCAAGCCUGAUGCAGCCAUGCCGCGUGUAUGAAGAAGGCCUGCGGGUUGUAAAGUACUUUCAGCGGGGAGGCGGUACCCGCAGAAGAAGCACCGGCUAACUCCGUGCCAGCAGCCGCGGUAAUUC
rnacentral:rRNA from 1 species